GACGAACGCUGGCGGCGUGCUUAACACAUGCAAGUCGAACGGUAAGGCCUUCGGGUACACGAGUGGCGAACGGGUGAGUAACACGUGGGUGAUCUGCCCCCUACUCUGGGAUAAGCCUGGGAAACUGGGUCUAAUACCGGAUAUGACCUCCUGCUUCAUGGUGGGGGGUGGAAAGUUUUUUCGGUAGGGGAUGAGCCCGCGGCCUAUCAGCUUGUUGGUGGGGUAAUGGCCUACCAAGGCGACGACGGGUAGCCGGCCUGAGAGGGCGACCGGCCACACUGGGACUGAGACACGGCCCAGACUCCUACGGGAGGCAGCAGUGGGGAAUAUUGCACAAUGGGCGAAAGCCUGAUGCAGCGACGCCGCGUGGGGGAUGACGGCCUUCGGGUUGUAAACCCCUUUCAGUCGGGACGAAGCGCAAGUGACGGUACCGAUAGAAGAAGCACCGGCCAACUACGUGCCAGCCGCCGCUGUAACAC
rnacentral:rRNA from 1 species